AAGACUAUACUUUCAGGGAUUAUUUCUGUAGUUGUUUACUAGAGAGGUUUCUGUGACUGUGUGGAGUACUGGAAACCACGACAAGGAAGUGCAGUGUUCUGUCCUGAGUGUGAAGUUGGUGUGGGGUAUUGUUUUGUUCAACUGCCCAUGACCCUUGAUGAUCACUCUUCUCUCCCUUUGGGAGAGUUAGAGGGAGAGAAUGCAGUCUGAGUGGA
ensembl:snoRNA U3 Small nucleolar RNA U3